rnacentral:rRNA from 1 species
AACGGCCAUAACAUGCUGAAUAUACCGGUUCUCGUUCGAUCACCGAAGUCAAUCAUCAUUGGGUGCGGUCGGUCAGUAUUUGGGAGGGUGACAACCUGGGAACACUGCAUGCUGUU